rnacentral:misc_RNA from 1 species
AUUUUUGCAUUGUAAUUCUGUAAAUGGAAAACAAAAGAAGAAAAGAAAAUGCAAUAUCACUAAAAUAUCCACAUAUAAUAAAGAUAAAUGCCAAAUAAUAGAUUCCUACACCUAUAAAGGGUACUUUCAAACUCCAUACUCAUUUUUUCUCUUCUUGUUUAAGCUUGAAAGUACAUUAAAAGGAAGGCACCUUUAUUUUUUUUGGAAGUUUAAUAAAUUUGGUAUUGUUACUAUAAAAGUAUCUUUAUAGUUAGUCAAGUACAAAAAUCAAUUACCAGUCUUAUUAUAGACCCAAGAUCUCACUAAAUACCAUAAGAAAGAGAAGGGAAAAUAGAAUCCUUGAUUGAAAUGGCAAUCCCACUACAAAUUCGUCAUUUGUUCCAUAUUUCUAUAAUUAGUCUCCAAUUCUUUCAUCUUUGCAAGAAACAAAUAGAGGAUUCAAAUUAGGCCUCAGUUUUCUUUUGAAAAAAGAACGGAUAAAUUAUAAACUAACCCCAUCAAGCAGU